AUGAGCAAGAAAAACAAAGUGCCACGUCUGUCUUCUAGGCCCACUGCCUCAGCCAUAGCAUUUACCAGCUGCAGUGCUGUCUGUGAUCCUCGGAGCCUGUGGUACCUGCCCACGAUGGGAGACGUUAGACGGCUGCUGGCACGUCACCUGCCCAGAGCUACAGGAGGUCUGGUUCUGGGGUGGGAGUUGGUACAAUUUCUGAGUAUGGGGACUUCCUACCCCAAGUGGUGGGGAGUUACAGUUAACCGUAACUUACUCAACUUCAGAGGUUUAGUGUUUUUCAUAUGGGAAAGAGAGGAGAAAUCUCAGGUCCAAUCAGGGUUAUGCCCAUUAGCUUUUUGCUGAAACUUUGAACUAUGGUUUUUUGCAGCUUUCAGUUUAUGGCUAUAUUUGCCCCUCCCCCUCUCUCUCCCCCGACCCACCUUCCCCUCCUUCUCUUUUCUUUUGGUUUCCUUUCCAACUUCAUUUCUCCUUUAGUUUAAACGUACCUCAUCACCUGUUAAAGCAAAUUAGGUCCACUUUUUCUUACUGACCUUACUCUAAGAGCUACAACUGAGGGAGGUACAGUGAAAGACAUGUAGCGUUUGCCUUACUUGGAGCCUGAAGAGCUCAGAAACUCAUGCUGUGAAUCCCAAAACUCAGCGCUCCUCCAAGAGCUGUGAAAAUCAUGACACUUUGUCACAAUUUUGCCUGAAAGGGUCUUUUGCGUGGGCGCCAGAGCCAACCUGAGGUAAAUUCCAGAUCCCACCCUCUGGGCACGAUGCUUCCCACAUGGCUUAUUCCCUGCCUGCCAGGCCAAGAGCAGCACAGAGUGUGCAGGACUGGGGCAGCAAUCCGAGGCUUUGGUGCAGCUUAAUGGAACGCAGAGCCAGUGCUGCGUCUCCAGGCUGGGAUUUCAUCUCAUGAUCAAUACCAUGUCCAUUCAGAUCCGCGAAAGACCAACCUUUAGGCAGUGAUACUUCUCUCCCAUUACCUGGGGGGAAAGUAUGCAGUUGGUGCUUUCUUAAUUCCCUUGUUUUGUUUUGUUUCUAUAAGCUUUCCCCCGGUAUCAUGGAAAGGACCUUUUAAACACCACUCUGUGGGUAGCUGUAUCCAAAAUCUAAGUAAUUGGCCAGACGUGCAGAGUAUCCUUUCCUGGGUUCAUGCAAGGAAGGGGCUCCUUCCACAGCUGAACUUCUUCCCUAAGAAGCUGGCUGGGGAGGAAGGCUUAACUUUACUAAAAUCAAAGUUUAAUAUUACCAUCUAGCCACAAAUUGAGCAGCAAAGGCUAUUUCGAUAGUGAAAUGAGGGUCCCCAUAUAGCCUGCCAUUUAGCACAGCAUACCCAGAUUUGAUGCUUGUUCAUUGUGUGUCUUCACAAGCCCCUCUCUGGUGCUGAAUUGGAUUUGAAUUCUUGGUGAGAGGCCUCAGCAUCUUUUUGGGCUGGUCUGGGCCAGUAAAUAGCUGCCUGAAGUGUUUAUAUAUUAUCAUGGUCAAUAGUUCAGUGAAAUUUGUACAUUUUUGGUAACAUUGGCAUACAUGAUGCCCCUGCAGUUCCUUUUCUGUUUGGUAGUUUGUGACUCUAAAAUUCCCACUGUUAUGUGUGUUAAUUUAUGAAAAUAAAUUUUUUUUUGAAAACCUUUCA
rnacentral:lncRNA from 1 species